rnacentral:sRNA from 1 species
CCAGAAACUAAGGACAGAUCGCUGCAAGA